rnacentral:lncRNA from 1 species
UUCAUUGCUUCAUUCUUUCAUUGCUUUGCUGUGCAUUCUGUCCAAUUCUUUGUUCAAAAUGCCAAGAACCUGGACAAUUUGCAGUCAAGACCCUCCACCGGGAUAUGAACUUCCAAUUAUAUCAUUGGACUUGACUACUCCAUUUCUUUCCACAUUUAAAAAUCAAUCAGGGAGAAGCUAUUUUGAGAACUUAACACAGUAUUUAACAUGGGAUUUCUGAAUGAAGACAGUUUAUGGAUGAAUAAGGGCAACUUUGGUUCUUUUCAGAAGGUGCGUGAUCUGGAUGGCUGAAGUUGCUGAUUUUGGGGGGUAAUCUACAAGGAAAAGGUGAUGAAAAUACCAGAAACAGUCUGUAUCCUACUAUGUGGCUAACAUAUGAGGAAGUCUCAACAUGCAAACUUUGGCAGAUAAAAUCUUAGGCCAUGGACAAGACCAUGUCCCUUUGUGAAGACAAUGCCCACAGCAAAAUAUUUUUCAUUAAAUCAAGGAAAUGGAUACUAGUGAACUAAGAUUUUAUAUAUAACUAAUAAUAAAUACCAAUUAUUUUUGCAAGCAUAUCUCAUCACUGAAAUAUACAUCUGUAUUUCAAUGUAUUAUCCUAAUAUUGAUUUCCCUGGGGGAAUCAAGAAAAGGAUUAUCUAUUUAAAGAGAAGGGAAUAUCAAGCCUGUUAUUGCCACAAUGUGGAAGAAUCAACAAAAUAACUGUUUUCAAAUUUCCAGAUAUUAAUUUUGUCAUCAUGUAUACAAACUUAUUUACCAAACAUGCUUCAUUCUACAUUUCUUUCUUGACAGGUUUUACAAUCUUUGUUAUUCUGUUUUCAAACAAAAAAUGUAAAAUGCCAUUUCUAUCUUUAUCACUAAAGCUUCCCAUCAACACGUUUAUCUCUUUUCACCCACAUAUCUGAUUGUAUUUUGAAUGUAAAAUAAAAACAGGCUUUAAAAUGAAAAGGCUUUUAUAAAAUAAAAAUUUGCUGUAGAAGAGAAAAAAAAUGUAAGAAACUCAGAUUUCCACUGAAUUUCCAAGGGCCUGUGGGGGCCUAGUAGUGAAAGAGUGAUAUUUUAUAAGUGAGUAAGUAUGAAUGUUCUCAUAGGUUUUGUGUAAAGAUGA